GUUAGCGGGUCAAGUGAAUAAGCGCAUCCGGUGAAUGCCUUGGCGACCACAGGCGAUGAAAGACGUGACAGCCUGCGAAAAGCGGCGGGGAGCUGGCAAAUAAGCGAUAAUCCGCCGAUCUCUGAAUGGGGCAACCCACCCGCGAGGGUAUUCCGAACUGAAUCCAUAGGUUCGGAAAGCGAACCCGGGGAACUGAAACAUCUCAGUACCCGGAGGAACAGAAAUCAACCGAGAUUCCGUCAGUAGCGGCGAGCGAACGCGGACCAGCCAUCCGUUGAUAACCGCAUUGUUAGGAGAACGACCUGGAAAGGUCGGUCACAGAGGGUGACAGCCCCGUAUCCAAAAACGACGCGGCGAGACUAAAACGGAAACCAGUAGGGCGGGGCACGAGGAACCCUGUCUGAACAUGGGGGGACCUUCCUCCAAGGCUAAAUACUCGUGGUCGACCGAUAGUGAACCAGUACCGUGAGGGAAAGGCGAAAAGAACCCCGGUGAGGGGAGUGAAACAGACCCUGAAACCGGAUGCGCACAAGCAGUCGGAGCCCCUUAACGGGGUGACGGCGUACCUUUUGUAUAAUGGGUCAGCGACUGACUUUUCGUGGCGAGCUUAACCGACUAGGGGAAGCGCAGGGAAACCGAGUCUGAACAGGGCGCAUCAGUCGCGAGGAGUCGACCCGAAACCGGGCGAUCUAUCCAUGACCAGGUUGAAGGUGCGGUAACGCGCACUGGAGGACCGAACCCACGUCUGUUGAAAAAGCCGGGGAUGAGUUGUGGAUUGGAGUGAAAGGCUAAUCAAGCCCGGAGAUCGCUGGUUCUCCCCGAAAGCUAUUGAGGUAGCGCCUCGUGUCUCGCUCCCGGGGGUAGAGCACUGUUUCGGCUAGGGGGCCAUCCCGGCUUACCAACCCGAGGCAAACUCCGAAUACCGGGAAGCGCAAUCACGGGAGACACACGGCGGGUGCGAACGUCCGUCGUGGAAAGGGAAACAACCCAGACCGCCAGCUAAGGUCCCCAAAUCACGGCUCAGUGGGAAACGAAGUGGGAAGGCCCAGACAGCCAGGAGGUUGGCUUAGAAGCAGCCAUCCUUGAAAGAAAGCGUAAUAGCUCACUGGUCAAGUCGGCCUGCGCGGAAGAUUUACCGGGGCUCAAGCCGUGUACCGAAGCUGCGGCUGCGCGUAAGCGCAGGGUAGGGGAGCGUUCCGUAAACCGAUGAAGGUUGCUUGAGAAGGCGGCUGGAGGUAUCGGAAGUGCGAAUGCUGACAUGAGUAACGAUUAUGCGGGUGAAAAUCCCGCACGCCGCAAGCCCAAGGGUUCCUCGCGCCAUGUCAAUCAGCGCAGGGUGAGUCGGCCCCUAAGGCGAGGCCGAAAGGCGUAGUCGAUGGGAAACCGGUGAAUAGUCCGGUACUGCGCGCCACUGCGAAGGGGGGACGGAGAAGGCUAUGUCAGCCGGCGAUUGGUAGUGCCGGUUUAACGAGGUAGGGAGGCGAUCCUGGCAAAUCCGGAUGGCCCAUCCCGAGAUCGGACGACGAGAUCCUUGGAUCGAAGUGACAAAUGCCCGGCUCCCAGGAAAAGCCUCUAAGCGACAGGUGGUGUGCAACCGUACCCGAAACCGACACAGGUGGGCGAGGAGAGUAUCCUCAGGCGCUGGAGAGAACCCGGGUGAAGGAACUCGGCAAAAUAGCACCGUAACUUCGGGAGAAGGUGCGCCUGUAGUAGGUGAAGCCCCUUGCGGGUCGAGCCGAGGCGGGCCGCAGUGACCAGGUGGCUGCGACUGUUUACUAAAAACACAGCACUCUGCCAACACGCAAGUGGACGUAUAGGGUGUGACGCCUGCCCGGUGCCGGAAGGUUAAGUGAUGGGGUUAGCCGCAAGGCGACGCUCUUGAUCGAAGCCCCGGUAAACGGCGGCCGUAACUAUAACGGUCCUAAGGUAGCGAAAUUCCUUGUCGGGUAAGUUCCGACCUGCACGAAUGGCGUAACGAUAGCCACACUGUCUCCACCCGGGACUCCGUGAAAUUGAACUCGCUGUGAAGAUGCAGCGUACCCGCGGCAAGACGGAAAGACCCCGUGAACCUUCACUACAGCUUUGCACUGGAUUUUGAGCCUUCUUGUGUAGGAUAGGUGGGAGGCAUUGAAGCGGGAACGCCAGUUCUCGUGGAGCCAACCUUGAAAUACCACCCUGGAAUGCUCGGGAUUCUAACCUCGGAUCUGAAACGGGUUCAGGGACCGUGCAUGGUGGGUAGUUUGACUGGGGCGGUCUCCUCCCAAAGCGUAACGGAGGAGUGCGACGGUACCCUCAGCGCGGUCGGAAAUCGCGCGGUGAGUGCAAAGGCACAAGGGUGCUUGACUGCGAGACGGACAGGUCGAGCAGGGGCGAAAGCCGGUCUUAGUGAUCCGGUGGUUCCGAAAGGAAGGGCCAUCGCUCAACGGAUAAAAGGUACUCCGGGGAUAACAGGCUGAUACUGCCCAAGAGUCCAUAUCGACGGCAGUGUUUGGCACCUCGAUGUCGGCUCAUCACAUCCUGGGGCUGUAGUCGGUCCCAAGGGUAUGGCUGUUCGCCAUUUAAAGUGGUACGCGAGCUGGGUUUAGAACGUCGUGAGACAGUUCGGUCCCUAUCUGCCGUGGGCGUUGGAGAAUUGCGGGGCGCUGUUCCUAGUACGAGAGGACCGGAAUGGACGGACCGCUGGUGUACCGGUUGUGUCGCCAGACGCACCGCCGGGUAGCUACGUCCGGACGGGAUAACCGCUGAAAGCAUCUAAGCGGGAAGCCUCCCCCAAGAUCAGUUCUCCCGCGUCCUUGAGACGCCUGAAGGUCCGUGGCAGACCACCACGUGGAUAGGCGAGGCGGUGGACGCGCCGUAAGGCGUGAAGCUGACCCGUACUAAUCGACCGUGCGGCUUGAUCCGCUAACACCCAAGC
rnacentral:rRNA from 1 species